rnacentral:rRNA from 1 species
GACGAACGCUGGCGGCGUGCUUAACACAUGCAAGUCGAACGAAGUGGCGAACGGGUGAGUAACGCGUAAUCAACCUGCCCUUCAGAGGGGGACAACAGUUGGAAACGACUGCUAAUACCGCAUACUGAAGGAGGGGAUUGCGUCUGAUUAGCUAGUUGGAGGGGGAACGGCCCACCAAGUCUAUGAUCCGUAGCCGGUCUGAGAGGAGGAACGGCCACAUGGGGACUGAGACACGGCCCAGACUCCGACGGGAGGCAGCAGGGGGGAAGCUGCCGCAAUGGACGAAAGUCUGACGGAGCAACGCCGCGUGAGUGAUGACGGCCUUCGGGUUGUAAAGCUCUGUUAAUCGGGACGCGGUACCGGAAUAGAAAGCCACGGCUAACUACGUGCCAGCAGCCGCGGUAAUAC